ensembl:lncRNA
CAACUUCAAUCCUCUUGCCAGACCAUGAGGCGGCUAUUGAGGGAACAAUCCAGUCUGUGCUGCUGCAAGCCAGGAUAGUCAAUUGCUGGAACCACAUCUUGAACAAUGUGAAGCAGAAGAUGGGGUCAGAGGAUCCCGAAAGUGUGGCCCGAUUACCAGCAGGCCAUCAAAGAGCUCUUGGCCACGAAAUCAAGGAGUGACUACGAAUGCACACUGGAGUGUGUGCCUCCACUGGAGCCCUGAUUUCGAGGCUUAUUUCCAUCAGUUGCUCUCUUACGCCAUGGACAAGGGUGCACAGUAUGUGCUCAACAGCUUGGGCAUCCAGUCAGAUGAAAUUACAAACAACUGCUCAGAGCUUCAAUGCUGUCCUCAAGGCAUUAGUUGGAUGGAAGGUCAGAGUAGACAGUGGUUUAUCUACUCUACCAACUCUAAACCAAAGCCUUGAGGGAGAAGCUGCGGGGCUACUGUAACCUAGGGAAUUUCUACCUGACCCCAGAGUGCCAUGAGCAAUUUUCCAGGUGAAUGCUCACCACCAGUUUCCCCUACCACAUGUCAGAGGAAGACAUGGUGUAUUUUGCUGAAGGCAUCCAGUCCUGUGUGGCACAAGGAAGAGGUUGUCAUGGCAGAAAUUGGAGUGGCAGCCUUAGCCAGGAUGAUUUUGGCAAAAGGACGUAUCCUCCUGGUGACAAGCACCAAAUGGUUCCUCUACCAUUGCUUCUCAGACGAGCAGCAUGUCGUUACUCUGUUGCCAAUGGAGAUGUGCUCCUGCUCUGCAUUUGACAGUUCCCAGAGGUGUGUCCGCUGACUGGCAGCCGUACUGGCCAUUGGCGGAAGUGUACCGCCCUAUGCCAAUAAAGCUGAGGACAAGGCAUCUGGCUGCAAAACGCUCUGGCCAUAAGUGUGCCACCAAGGAGCAUGUCCAGAUGGGAGCCAAACACCAGGAAGAACAAUCAACCGUUCAUCAACAGGGUCACCUGUCUGACAAACACCCCAGCAGGGAGGACGAAUUGGAGAAUGGAG